UGAACAGGGCAAACCCACCGAAAGGUGGGGGCGCGAGCUACGGGUCUAAAGCCGAGUGCUAUGACGGCCGGGUUGCCAU
rnacentral:ncRNA from 1 species